rnacentral:rRNA from 1 species
GACGAAGGAUGCAAGCGUUAUCCGGAUUCAUUGGGUUUAGAGGGAGCGUAGGUGGCCUUAUAAGUCAGUGGUGAAAUCUCUGGGCUUAACCCAGAAAUUGCCAUUGAUACUGUAGGGCUUGAGUACAGUUGCUGUGGGCGGAAUAUGACAUGUAGUGGUGAAAUACAUAGAGAUGUCAUAGAACACCAUUGCGAAGGCAGCUCACAAAAACUGUAACUGACACUGAGGCUCGAAAAGUGCGGGGAUCAAACAGG